rnacentral:rRNA from 1 species
GGCCUAUCAGCUAGUUGGUAGGGUAACGGCCUACCAAGGCGUUUGACGGGUAGCCGGCCUGAGAGGGUGUUCGGCCACACUGGGACUGAGACACUGCCCAGACUCCUACGGGAGGCUGCAGUCGAGAAUCUUUAGCAAUGGGCGAAAGCCUGACUAAGCGACGCCGCGUGCAGGAUGAAGGUUUUCGGAUUGUAAACUGCUUUUGUCUGGAAAGAAAACUCUGUAUAAUAUAAAGAUACAGGGCUGACGGUACCAGACGAAUAAGCCACGGCCAACUCCGUGCCAGCAGCCGCGGUAAUACGGAGGUGGCGAGCGUUACUCGGAAUUAUUGGGUGUAAAGGGCAAGUAGGCGGCUUGUUAAGUGAGGGGUGAAAUCUCCCGACUCAAUCGGGAAACUGCCUUUCAAACUAACAGACUUGAGGUUGGAAGAGGGAAACGGAAUUAGCAGUGUAAGGGUGAAAUCUGUAGAUAUUGCUAAGAACACCAGCGGCGAAGGCGGUUUCCUGGUCCAAACCUGACGCUGAAUUGCGAAAGCUAGGGUAGCGAACAGAAUUAGAUACUCUGGUAGUCCUAGCUGUAAACGAUGAGCACUAGGUGUCGGUCCUUCGGGAUCGGUGCCGCAGCUAACGCAUUAAGUGCUCCACCUGGGGACUACGGCCGCAAGGCUAAAACUCAAAGGAAUUGACGGGGACCCGCACAAGCGGUGGAACAUGUGGUUUAAUUCGAUGCUACGCGAAAAACCUCACCAGGGCUUGACAUGUAUGCAGUAGUGAACCGAAAGGGGAACGAACCGUUAAGUCCGGAAACAUACACAGGUGCUGCAUGGCUGUCGUCAGCUCGUGUCGUGAGAUGUUGGGUUAAGUCCCGCAACGAGCGCAACCAUUGCCCUAUGUUGCCAACCCUGUAAUUAUCAUUCGUGAUAAACAGAGCGCACUCAUGGGGGACUGCCUGGGAUAACUAGGAGGAAGGUGGAGAUGACGUCAAGUCAGUACGGCCUUUAUGCCCUGGGCUACACACGUGUUACAAUGGCAGGUACAAAGGGUUGCCAACCCGUGAGGGGGAGCUAAUCUCAAAAAACCUGUCCCAGUUCGGAUUGGAGUCUGCAAUUCGACUCCAUGAAGUCGGAAUCGCUAGUAAUGGGAGAUCAGCAUGCUCCCGUGAAUACGUUCCCGGGUCUUGUACACACCGCCCGUCAAGCGAUGAAAGCUGGGGGUACCCGAAGUCCUGUGU